rnacentral:rRNA from 1 species
AAAAGAUGGUUCUGCUAUCACUCUUGGAUGGACCUGCGGUGCAUUAGCUAGUUGGUAAGGUAACGGCUUACCAAGGCAAUGAUGCAUAGCCGAGUUGAGAGACUGAUCGGCCACAUUGGGACUGAGACACGGCCCAAACUCCUACGGGAGGCAGCAGUAGGGAAUCUUCCACAAUGGACGCAAGUCUGAUGGAGCAACGCCGCGUGAGUGAAGAAGGGUUUCGGCUCGUAAAGCUCUGUUGGUAGUGAAGAAAGAUAGAGGUAGUAACUGGCCUUUAUUUGACGGUAAUUACCUAGAAAGUCACGGCUAACUACGUGCCAGCAGCCGCGGUAAUACGUAGGUGGCAAGCGUUGUCCGGAUUUAUUGGGCGUAAAGCGAGUGCAGGCGGUUCAAUAAGUCUGAUGUGAAAGCCUUCGGCUCAACCGGAGAAUUGCAUCAGAAACUGUUGAACUUGAGUGCAGAAGAGGAGAGUGGAACUCCAUGUGUAGCGGUGGAAUGCGUAGAUAUAUGGAAGAACACCAGUGGCGAAGGCGGCUCUCUGGUCUGCAACUGACGCUGAGGCUCGAAAGCAUGGGUAGCGAACAGGAUUAGAUACCCUGGUAGUCCAUGCCGUAAACGAUGAGUGCUAAGUGUUGGGAG